rnacentral:rRNA from 1 species
CAGUGCCACGGUAAUACGUAGGUCCCGAGCAUUGUCCGGAUUUAUUGGGCGUAAAGCGAGCGCAGGCGGUUAGAUAAGUCUGAAGUUAAAGGCUGUGGCUUAACCAUAGUACGCUCUGGAAACUGUUUAACUUGAGUGCAAGAGGGGAGAGUGGAAUUCCAUGUGUAGCGGUGAAAUGCGUAGAUAUAUGGAGGAACACCGGUGGCGAAAGCGGCUCUCUGGCUUGUAACUGACGCUGAGGCUCGAAAGCGUGGGGAGCAAACAGGAUUAGAUACCCCCGUAGUCCCUGUCUCUUAUACAC